GCAAACUCGACGGGAAGGGGGUGCCCAGGGAUCGGCGUGCGACGGGGAGGGGGAUCCGCCGGGGAGAGGGGAAGCACCGGGAGUCCCGGGACGGGGUUGCAGCCGUGCUGCCCGGACGAAGGAUGCGCCGCGGCUCCCGGAAGGAGAGAUGCAGCGGAGCUGCCCCCUUGCUCCCCUCGGCCCCCUGUCCGCCCGGUGGCGGGGUUUGGGUGAGCAUCUCCAGGGCUGGCUGGUGACUCGCCUCGGAGACCGAAAGGCACCGGGAGACACGACGCUGCGGGAGCCUAUCUCUGGUCACCCUCUCCUAUACAGCCAUACCCGAAACCGGUGCAAGCCCCGUGGAAACCGAUAGAGCAGAAUUUCCAGCGGAAAUCGGAGCACUUGCCCAAAGGCAGCCCUAGCAAGGAGCAGCCUGGCAUAAGGAGUCCAAACCACCCUGUAUUACUGUCUCCAUGCUCUCCAGUCUUGUGCACCUCGUAUGUAGUACGGAGAACAGGUAAACCCUGCAAAUGACAGCUACAGCUCAAGACAGGGAUCUUGGCACAGGCUGGGAGUCACUGGGUGUAUUAUUCCUGUGGUGCAGUGGUGGAAUCAAUGGAAAGAGGCCUGAUUUUAUCACCAGGUUUUCCAAACAACUACUACCCAGGGACACACUGUGUUUGGCAAUUUUUCAUUCCCAUGAGAACCCAUCUUAUCUUGGAAACUUUUGACUUUGACAUUUUUGAGAGCUCUAGUGAAACUUCAACCCCCUGGGAUGGCUUUUCAGCCCCCACUAAAACAGGAAACAAAGACAUUCCUUCCCUCGAGGAAAACCUGGAUUUUGAUCUCCAUACUACAAAACCAUCCCUUGGAGGGACCUGGAUGUCAAAGGUGGUUCAGAAUCUGAGCAGCACAGGAGAUCAGUCAAAGGACCUUCCUAGUCACCUGGAUGACCUUCCAGGGACAACCUCAAAAAAAGAUGAAGCCAAAAAAGCAUCUGAAGAAAACCAGUCAAAGCAGAUGAAGGAACCUAAAGCAAUUACCAAGGCUCAAACAGAAGAAGUGCCAUUCCCUGUGGCUGGCAGUGCCACAACGCAGAAGCAAAAUACCAGUGGCCUGGGAACACAUUUGAAGGAGAAAAUCUUGCUUGCCCACCUAGCUGCUAGUAAGGGAGAUGAAGUUACAGUAGAGAGCCAGACUUUUCCCACAGCAGUACUGCCUGUGGAAAUAUCCUCCAGCCCACAGUCAGCAGUGGAUAUAUGUCCCCAUGAUGUACUAUAUGUUUCUGAUCUCAUCACAUUUUCCUCUCGCUUCUGUGGACCAAACUCACCUUUAAACAAGACUAUGGUCUUUGGUUCAUCUCUGGAAAUGGUUGAGGUUAUCAUGGAACUGAUCACCACCACAGACCGAGGCCGAGGCUUUGCAAUGCUCUUCGAAUACAAGAACAUCACCGAACCCAACACGGUAGAUGCCGUGAGGCAGGGGAGAAAGGAAAAUACAAUGACGCUGGCAAUUGUAAUAGGGCUCGCCUUCUUUGCACUUGCUUUGCUCUCUGCACUCUGCAUAACUUGCAGACAGAGAAUGUGCCCCAAAAGGAGCUCAUCCAACACAUGCAGUGACCAGGAGAACAGGAUCCAGAACUCCACUGUUGAUAUCAAUGAGCUCCAGCUGGUGGUGCCAAACCGGGAGAAUGAAAACAACAACCACUCUGUGAGCCGGGAGCAGGCGGUCACUUCCUGCAUAGGCAGCACAGAACGGUCUCCUCAGGACACUGACCCAGAUGUGCCCUCCUCCAUAUCUGCAGUGACCACUGAGACUGGGAGUGAUGAAGUAUUUAUUAUUUCUGCUGGACCUGGCACUAGUGGGCUGAGCUUUACCACCUACAGAAUACAGGACAAAAAUCUAAAAAGAAGCGUCACGAGCCCAGCCUCUGUGUCUGACUGGUUGGCUUCUAAUCACACAGCUGCAGGAGCAGACACUGUUGAGAAGGGGAAUGCCCAGCUGGAAAAUCACUGUCCCAGACAACGCACAUGGAGUGCCCGCACUUUCCACGACUUCCUGGCUCCAAUACCACAGCUACAGAAAAAGUGGUGUAGCUGGACCACUAACAGUCCCUUCACAAAGCUGGUUGACAACAGUGGUUUUCCUACAACUGCAAGAUCUCAAUGUGCCUCAACCAGAAAAGUAAUCUCAGCCACUGAGAUAGAGGGAGCAUCAGGGACCAUUUACUCCGAUUCAUCUGCCAGUAAUGCUUCAUACCCCCUCACUCUGUCCGCACAAAGGCAGCGGAAGCUAAGCUCCUGCAAUUUGAAGAAAUCCAGGUUUGGGAACCCUUACUUUGGAUUUUUAGCCAGUUCCCCUGACAGCAAACAUGUGAGGUCCUUGGAUCCAUCAAGACAUCUAGGGGCAACAUCUCCAGUUAAUAGCCAAAGCCCCAGAAAUCUUCUAGACAGCUCCAACCCACUGAAAAUCAACUUGGUCAAUGGUUCCAAAACGAAGGAACUUAUGUUAGAAACAGACAAAACCAAACCAGUUUUUGUUAUUUCUGAAGAAGGGGAUGAUCAGCAGCCUCUGGUCCUAGCAGAACACCUUAGUCAAUGUGGAGAUCAUCUGUCAGAGCAAACUGCUGUGUAUGCUCCAGCUGUGCCAGAUAAACAGCCAAUGGUUCUGACUGUGGAGGGAAACAGUUCUGCCAGCUUCAUGUCAAAUCUUCCCCUUUGGGCAAAAUCCCCCAGUUUAUACAAAGGUCAUGUGAAGGCCCCAAGCUCUUCCAGGGAACAGCAGAGCUCGUCAGCUGAGGAUGCUAAUACUACUGAGACCUCACAGAACUGUGAUACCAUAGCUGCUCCUACACUAAGCCAAGCUUCAGUCCAGUGAUGCCCUCAGAAAGACUGAGACAUCAGUUCACAAAAACAGAGACAACAGGGACAUGAUGAGAGUGGAAGCUGUGCCAAGCAGUUGAGCAUGGCAGUCACAGAUGGAUGCAACUUCGUUAAAAACGGUGUUUGCUUCCCAUCUGCUGGGACUGAGAUUAUGAUGAUGCAUACAAUAGCAUAGCACAAAUUCAACCUUUUCGUAUGUUCACAACCUCAUCUCUGUUCUUCUGCAUGGAAUUUUGAUGUGGUUUAUACAAGAAAGUAUCCUCUGAAAAAGUACUUUAGACUGCAGAAAACCUUUUCUGGAAUGAGAAAUGAAAGUCAUCUGAGAUGGUUACACCAUGGUUUAUAUUUGAAAUGUCAAUCAGUCCUCUGCCAUUGUGGUAUCAUUCGAAUCUUUCUGUUGGGAGCUCUGAGUUAAAUUUUGUUUAUAGCUAUGCCUGUACAAUCCAAGCCUUGCCAAGCCAAGGGUAAGAAUUUAAUCAUGCAUGUUUGCGCACAGUUUUGUAAACUUAAUUUUAAGCAUUUCAUAACUUCUGUACUUUAGCACAGUUUACCAAGGAUUAGCAUCUCUAGUAUUACAAACAAUGAUUAUUUCAUAUCCUAACUCUUUAGAGAAGCAUAUGGACAAGCUAAGCAACCCAGUACUGGAUGCUAGUUCUAUAAAAGUCUGAUGUAGCUUUAUCUUUGUUAGAUCUACAUAGGCUUAAACCACCUUAGUCCACUACAUUUUUAAGUGACUCCUCAUGGCAACAGGAGCAUGUGUAUAAAAACACUGAAAUACUAGGGAUAGUUUUCAGCAUCCAACACUUGGGAUAUUUGCAGCUGCUCUGAUGCUAUAUCCACCAGCUAUUUAUUGCUGGUAACGCACAUUGCCUAGAGAACUAUUUCACUUCCUUUAGCAGGCAGGACUUAAAAAUAAAUGGGGCAAACUUUGAGUGCUCA
rnacentral:lncRNA from 14 species